rnacentral:rRNA from 1 species
AGUGAACGCUGGCGGUAGGCCUAACACAUGCAAGUCGAACGGCAGCACAGUAAGAGCUUGCUCUUACGGGUGGCGAGUGGCGGACGGGUGAGGAAUACAUCGGAAUCUACUUUUUCGUGGGGGAUAACGUAGGGAAACUUACGCUAAUACCGCAUACGACCUACGGGUGAAAGCAGGGGAUCUUCGGACCUUGCGCGAUUGAAUGAGCCGAUGUCGGAUUAGCUAGUUGGCGGGGUAAAGGCCCACCAAGGCGACGAUCCGUAGCUGGUCUGAGAGGAUGAGCAGCCACACUGGAACUGAGACACGGUCCAGACUCCUACGGGAGGCAGCAGUGGGGAAUAUUGGACAAUGGGCGCAAGCCUGAUCCAGCCAUACCGCGUGGGUGAAGAAGGCCUUCGGGUUGUAAAGCCCUUUUGUUGGGAAAGAAAAGCAGCAGGUUAAUACCACGCUGUUCUGACGGUACCCAAAGAAUAAGCACCGGCUAACUUCGUG